rnacentral:rRNA from 1 species
AUUGAACGCUGGCGGCAGGCCUAACACAUGCAAGUCGAACGAGUGGCGGACGGGUGAGUAAUGUCUGGGAAACUGCCCGAUGGAGGGGGAUAACUACUGGAAACGGUAGCUAAUACCGCAUACCAUCGGAUGUGCCCAGAUGGGAGUAGCUAGUAGGUGGGGUAACGGCGCACCUAGGCGACGAUCCCUAGCUGGUCUGAGAGGAUGACAGGCCACACUGGAACUGUGACACGGUCCAGAGGCCUAGGGGAGGCAGCAGGGGGGAAUAGUGCACAAUGGGCGCAAGCCUGAUGCAGCCAUGCCGCGUGGAUGAAGAAGGCCUGCGGGUUGUAAAGUACUUUCAGCGAGGAGGCGUUACGCGCAGAAGAAGCACCGGCUAACUCCGUGCCAGCAGCCGCGGUAAUUC